AUAUAGAGAUUUUCGGAUCUUGUUCACCGGAUAGUAGUUACAUAGCCAAUUGUGGAACUUUCUUGCUAAAAUUUUUCAAGUUAUAUUCUUUCGGGAUUAUAUGCUUGUUUAAUUAUAACGAUUAUCAAUUAACAAUCAAUUCAGAACUGGCACGGACUUGGGGAAUCCGACUGUCUAAUUAAAACAAAGCAUUGUGAUGGCCCUAGCGGGUGUUGACACAAUGUGAUUUCUGCCCAGUGCUCUGAAUGUCAAAGUGAAGAAAUUCAAGUAAGCGCGGGUAAACGGCGGGAGUAACUAUGACUCUCUUAAGGUAGCCAAAUGCCUCGUCAUCUAAUUAGUGACGCGCAUGAAUGGAUUAACGAGAUUCCUUCUGUCCCUAUCUACUAUCUAGCGAAACCACAGCCAAGGGAACGGGCUUGGAAUAAUUAGCGGGGAAAGAAGACCCUAUUGAGCUUGACUCUAAUCUGGCAGUGUAAGGAGACAUAAGAGGUGUAGAAUAAGUGGGAGAUAUUUAGAAAUUUAUUUUUAUUUAUCGCCAAUGAAAUACCACUACUCUUAUUGUUUCCUUACUUACUUGAUUAAAUGGAACGUGUAUCAUUGCUUAGCCAUAUUAAGGAUCUAUUUUCAAUAGAUCUUAUGGUAUUGGGUCUUGAUGCAAGCUUCUUGAUCAAAGUAUCACGAGUUUGUUAUAUAAUUGUAAACAAAAUUUAAUGAAGAUAAUUGUAUUUUAUACUAUUAUUGUUAAUUAAAAUUUGGUAUAACUCCAACACUCAGGUAUGAUCCAAUUCAAGGACAUUGCCAGGUGGGGAGUUCGACUGGGGCGGUACAUCUCUCAAAUAAUAACGG
rnacentral:rRNA from 1 species